GGUCCCAGAGCAGAGGCGGUGGCCAGCGUGGAGACGGAGGCUGCUGCUAGUCAGAUGGAGACUCACAGUGUGGAUGCCUGUCACUGGUACCCUCAGUGCUUUAUGCCAUCCCACAGACUGGUGAAAGGCCGGAACAGAUCAGCGCAGCCCCCUCCAGCCCCCCCGGCCUUCACUGCAGCCCCCCC